rnacentral:rRNA from 1 species
UACGAGGGGGCGAGCGUUGUUCGGAAUCACUGGGCGUAAAGAGUGCGUAGGCGGUUAUAAAAGUUAGGAGUGAAAGCCCCAGGCUCAACUUGGGAAUUGCUCUUAAUACUAUAUAACUCGAAUUCGGGAGAGGAUAAGCGGAAUUGUCAGUGUAGCAGUGAAAUGCGUAGAUAUUGACAGGAACACCAGUGGCGUAAGCGGCUAUCUGGACCGACAUUGACGCUGAGGCACGAAAGCGUGGGGAUCAAACAGG